CUCAUGAGUAUACCAGAAGAGAGUAGCCCAGAAUGCAAGCUAAUUUGAAAAGUAGGGCAAUCUGAUGCUAUAUUAAAGAGGGGAAGGAGGAGGUGGCGGGAAGAGGUCUAUUUAGUAUCCAGCUCCAAUUGGAUUAAGCUGCAAUUCAGUGAAACACUUUGAUAAGUGUAGAUCAUCAAGCAGAAUAUAUAGAAAUCUAACUGAUAUCAGAGCAUAAAAUGGACCUGGCCUGAACACUGACAUUCCAAAUGGAAGGAAAAAGAAGAGAGUUGGAGAAACCAAUGCAGACCAUACCCACCUCGGUCACACGUGGAACAGCUCUGAUGAGGUCUUCUUGGGAUGCUACAGCAUUAUUUUGGGACUGCAAAAAGAAUCUGAGGGAAGAGGCAACAGGAAAGUGCACAGCUGUAUUGAAGAGUUUUGAAAAGAGGAACAAGAGCUUAAGUCAUGAGAGCGAGAAAGGAAGUGCCUAACUUGGAUGGCUUUAGGUGAGAAGAUACUGGAGACGGGCUAUUUUUAUGGUAUUGAUGGCACUAAUGAACCAUACAGCACUUCUGUUAUGACGUACUUCUGCUGGUUUGUUCUAGCUGAGGAUCUUCUUUGAUGUCCUCUACACACAGAGAGAUUCUGUGCUUGACAAAGCAUAGCAGCAUAUAACAGGAUAAGCAGAAACGCUUGUAUUUAUUCAAAAUUAAUGAAUUCAUAGACGAAACACUUGACAGCACACACAUCAGAUUUGAAGGCCUCCUUGAGGGCCUUAAAAAAAAAAAAAAGGAAAGGAAGAAAAGUCUACUUACCAGAAUACAUGCUGAUUACUGAAUGAGCAACUCUGUAUUAUGUCCGAGUCAUUCCUCAAUAUGUCAGAAAUCCAUGUCACCAUCCUUUAUUUUUAUAAAAUUCUGACAGCUGCCUUAAUAAAUCUCUGCUCUAUAGCA
rnacentral:lncRNA from 1 species